rnacentral:lncRNA from 1 species
AUGAAUCUGUUGAGAGGAGUGCUGAGGUGUAACAUGAUAUACUUGAAGCCAAGAACCUUACACUCUCAUUCAUCAUUGUAAAGCAUUGUGCUUUGGAGUAGAAUGACGAGUUAGCUUCUGAAGUUGGAGACUUUACUUGAUGAUAGCGUGGGGCAAAAUGUCGAGUUGGAAUUUGAAAGGAGUGGCACGUCUUUGACCGUUCAGUGGGUGGCUGAAGACUUACACUCAAUAACUCUUUCGGAGU